UGGAUUAUUGGCGAACGGGUGAGUAACUCGUGGGCAAUCUGCCCUUCACUCUGGGACAAGCCCUGGAAACGGGGUCUAAUACCGGAUAAUACUUUCUCUCUCAUGGGGGAAGGUUAAAAGCUCCGGCGGUGAAGGAUGAGCCCGCGGCCUAUCAGCUAGUUGGUGGGGUAAUGGCCUACCAAGGCGACGACGGGUAGCCGGCCUGAGAGGGCGACCGGCCACACUGGGACUGAGACACGGCCCAGACUCCUACGGGAGGCAGCAGUGGGGAAUAUUGCACAAUGGGCGAAAGCCUGAUGCAGCGACGCCGCGUGAGGGAUGACGGCCUUCGGGUUGUAAACCUCUUUCAGCAGGGAAGAAGCGAAAGUGACGGUACCUGCAGAAGAAGCGCCGGCUAACUACGUGCCAGCAGCCGCGGUAAUACGUAGGGCGCAAGCGUUGUCCGGAAUUAUUGGGCGUAAAGAGCUCGUAGGCGGCUUGUUGCGUCGGUUGUGAAAGCCCGGGGCUUAACCCCGGGUCUGCAGUCGAUACGGGCAGGCUAGAGUGUGGUAGGGGAGAUCGGAAUUCCUGGUGUAGCGGUGAAAUGCGCAGAUAUCAGGAGGAACACCGGUGGCGAAGGCGGAUCUCUGGGCCAUUACUGACGCUGAGGAGCGAAAGCGUGGGGAGCGAACAGGAUUAGAUACCCUGGUAGUCCACGCCGUAAACGUUGGGAACUAGGUGUUGGCGACAUUCCACGUCGUCGGUGCC
rnacentral:rRNA from 2 species